rnacentral:lncRNA from 1 species
GAACGGUUUAUUAAGAACCGAGGGGUAACAUCACGCAGUUCAUUACAAAACAGGCGAUGGAUCGAGGGAGAGUAGCCGGCGCUGGAUGUUACGGAUCGGAGGCCAUCUUCGCUUAGCCGAUGUAGUAGAUCGGGUCGGGCAGCUUGAAGGUGCGUGCCCCCUCCGGCGCACCGAGGAUGUCGCUCCACUGGUCGCCGAUGUUGCCGACGAUGACGUAGCCGGCGUCCACCAGCUUCUUCCGCUCGCCGGACUUGAAGCCGACGGCGGAGGCCUUGAAGCCGACGGGCUUGAGCAGCAGCUUCAUCCACCCGGAGUAGCCUUGGCGGCGGAGGUUGGCGACGGUGAUGGCCCUCUGGUCCUCGGUGCGGCCCGUCAGGAACACCGGCUUGAUGCCGAGCGCGAUGAGCUUGUUGUACAGCCGCUGCGUCUCCGGCAGCACCGGCGCGCUCCCCUCCAGCACGUACGCGUUGAAGCUCGUCGCGUUGUACGGCUUCGUGCUGGGUAAGCAUGCAUGGAAAAAGAAGACAAUGCAAACUCAUCACUUGUCUACUCUCUACAAAUCACACACUGGUUUUACGUUACGGUCCUUUCAUACAUGACAAACUGGUGUGUCCAGUUCUGAAACAACUUUAUUAGAAAUGGAGCACACACGAUCGUGUGAACCGUGGGCGAUCUUUUGGAUAUGACACUUGCGAAAACGAUAAGAUUUUGUAGCCAGCACGCAUUGGCAAAAGGCCAAACGGACCACGUACGCUAGUCCUAAUCGAUAUGGCACGCACAAUCUCAUCGACGACGUCUCCAUGUGGCAUCGGACACAUGCAUGCGUCCUAAGGGGGUGUUUGUUUUUUUAGUCGCUCCUAAAAUUUCUGUCACAUCGAAUGUUUAGAUACUAAUUAGGAGUAUUAAAUAUAGACUAAUUACAAAACUAAUUGCACAGAUGGAGACUAAUUGGCGAGACGAAUCUAUUAAGCCUAAUUAGUUCAUGAUUUGACAAUGUGAUGCUACAGUAAACAUGUGCUAAUGAUGGAUUAAUUAGGCUUAAUAGAUUCGUCUCGUGAAUUAGCCUCCAUCUGUGUAAUUAGUUUUAUAAUUAGCUCAUAUUUAGUCCUCCUAAUUAGCCUCCAAAUAUUCGAUGUGACAUAAAUUUUAGGAGGUCCUAAAGAUCCAAACACCCCCUAAGACUCCAAGAGAUCUGUCCCUUUCCCAUCACAGAGAAAGAGAAGGACGAUGAGAAUUAUAAAGGAGAGCCAUACGUUUUUUAAUCCUACUAUCUUGAGAUAUAGAGAAAGAUAUUAUAUUAUUAUGACAUCAGCUAGAGCUAAUAACCAGCAGAAUAUAGCGGCUCCCAAGAGCUCUCCUGCCAUAACCGCUACAACAAAAAUAUCAAGCUAUAGCGGAAUCUAACUGGCGCUUUUAAUGGCUGAAGAAGACUGCCGCUAAAUCCUAGUCCUCUAUUUAAAGCACUAAGCUAGCUCACUAUUGCUUUUCUCUAGAAUCAGUACACAUGUUCUGGUGCAUAUACGUACAAGACAAAACAUACAGAUAUGACGUGUAGUGUACGUGGCAAUGCCUUUGUUCUUGUUUGUUUUGGCUUUUCUAGACGCAUAAUUUUUUAUAUUCACCUAGGUAGAUAUUAGAUUUUCUAGACGCAUAACUUUAGAUAUUCACCUAGAUAGAUAUUAGAGCAACUUGUCAGGUGGGUACAGAUUGGUCAAACAACUUAUAAAAUGCUCAAUCUAGUACAAUAACUUGUAAAAUGGGUGCAAUUUAGUCCAACAACUUGUAAAAUGCUCAAUUUAGUAUAUUAACUUGAUAGGUGGCUGCAGAUUAGUCCAACAAUUUUAAAAAAUUCAAGUUUGAGUAUUUUACAAACUGUUGAACCAAUCUACACUCACCCGAUGUAUUUACUCUAUAUAUUAUAUCUAUAUAUAUAGCAAAAGUUAGAUACGUGAAAAAAUCAAAAUGAAUAGUAUUUUGAGCCGGCGGUACAUAUACGCAGGCACAUGAGCUGGCCGGUUAACAUGAUUAAUUAGUAUGUGCCAUGACAUGGAUUCCUAGGUGCCAUGCGUUGAAUCGCGAACAACGUUACGUACCCGAAGCCGUGGGUGGCGUAGUAGGGGAGGUUGGAGAGGGACGUCUCGUCGAUGUCGAACACCCACACCUCCUUGCCCUUGCCGCCGAGCUUGAGCCCCUCGGCGUACGCGACGGCCUCGUUGACGACAACGCGGGAGUCUCGGCGGUAGUGCCCGCCGAGCAUGUAGUGGCCGACGUAGCCCUCGCAGUCGGCCGGCACGGUCCGCCAGUCGCGCUUGUUGUACGCCUCCACCGCCAGCCGCCAGCUGUCGCACGGCACGCCGCCGCGCCGGCCGAGGUCACCGGCGGAGCCCACCAUCGGGCGCAGCGCGUGAAUCAACGGCGCCUUCUGGCUCUCAUCCGCGGCCGCCUGGACGGCCCACGCGCUGCCGGCCACGAGGACCACGAGGAGGACGAGCCUGGCCGUCGUCGCCGUCUCCAUGGCCACUCUGCUAGAGCUAGCCGAGACUGUACAGUGUGUGCUGUUUUGCUUGUGGAGACGAGCACCUGCCCCGCCGGUACGCGCGCGUGAGCUUUAAUAGAAGGUGCUUGCCUGCGCAACGGAUCUAGCGGGGCUCACAUGUCACCUGGUCAUCAGCACGCGAGUCGCUAAAUUUUUUGUUGUUUUCUAGAUUUUCUCACGCUAACUUUAUAAUUCCUUAAUUUAUGUAUAUAUAAAAAUAUUAUAAAUUGUAUGAGAACAAAAAAUCUGAAAAACAAACGUGGGGUUGUCUCGUAGUUCCAAUAUGGACAAUUGUUUCGCAAAAGAAGAUCGAUUCUUCCCUCUGCCUCCAUAUGUAAUUUUUAAAAAUAUUACUCCGUUUCAAAUUGUAAGCCGUUUUGACUUUUCUAGAUUCAUAGAUAUUUGUUGUAAGAACUAUAUAUGCACCUAGAAAAAUCAAAACGACUUACUCCCUUCGUCCCAUAAAAAAUGCAAUUCUAAUUUUUCUAUCCGUCCCAUGAAGAAUGCAAUUCUAGUUUUUCUAAGACUAAUUGAAAAGACUCCAAUGCCCUAAUUUGUUAGCCACAUGCAGUAAAUUUUGACAUGCAAAUCAGAUCUGAUCACUUAAUUAAACAGGCAGUUAGAUUUAUUUCCUAGGAUUAUUGCACUUUUUUGUGGGAUUUUUUCAAAUACUAGAAUGGUACCUUUCAUGGGAUGGAGAGUGCAAUUUGGGAGUACAUGAUAUUGCAUAAAUUUAUUUACGAGUCUGCCCAGUCACCGCAUGCAUGCAAGGCUGCUUAUUUGGCGGACCGCCCGCUGGCCGUGCUCCUCCCUCAGCACCGACGACGUGUGGCAACGUCCUGGCCUUACCAUGACAAGGACGGUUUGUCUCCUGCACUUUGGGCUCUGCCAAUGGCCUUGUAAGCUUCUUGGAGGAAAAAAAGAACUUCUAUGCGAAUCUCCUGUCAUUCAGAAUUUAUACACACACGUGAGUAGCACUUACAGUGUGUGCUACUGUGCUUACAGUUUUAGUUGUAUGUAUGCACGCGCGCCCUUGUAAAUUGUAAAUUUGUAAUGGAUAAAAAUGACUGCUUAUUUGGGGGGUUUUCCGUCUCUUGGCCGCAUUCUUUUGUAUGCGCACGAUUACAGAUUUGCCUCUUUUUGCCUUGUCGAUCUGAUCCCUCGAUAUAUGCCUCAUGCAUACGGCACUGCUACACCCGUCGUGUCAACUGCUGCUCGAAUCAGAUCCUAUACAGGCAUCCAGAGCACCACUGCUUUUUCUCUGAGCUGACCUGCAGAAAAGAAAGGGCUUCAGAUUAGGUCCUUUGAAAUUCCUAUGUUGUAGGCUGUAUGUUCCACGAAAAAGGCGCUAACCAUUAUUGCACAUGUGUGCUAAAGUACUAUAGAAAUUUCAUGGAAAAAAACCACUCUAGACAUGUCAGUUUUAAUCACAGUGUUCAUCUGUUUUUUAAUCAAAAGAAGCUGAUUUUGCUCUCGACAUGUUAUCUAGAAUACUCAAGUUCAUUCCUACUUUGAUACUCCCGUUUAGGGUGUUUUUUGGAAACCUCUUAGAUCAUACUACAUUUUUUUAGGCAAAAACUAUGGGGAAGUUCUUCACAGCACUUCAUUUCAAAAAUUAAGAAAGGCACAAGGACAGGAGAUGAGGGGGGAUUAAGUUACACUAGUGUCUCUAGCCAUUGAAUAAAAACUAUCUACAGGUGAUCAUACUACAUUAAUGAUAUUUUGCCCAAGGGAACAGACCUCGGCCUCCUGAGCCGCUCGCCCGAGCGCCUCAGGGGGCGAACCUGCCCGUACACUGCGAGCCCCCCCUCCCCCGGUGCCAUCCCCGCCUGCCGCCGUCGCUCUGGCCAUAGCUCGCGAUGGCGGCAGGCUCUCAACCCGCAGCAGUGGCCUCGGCUCGCUCCCCUCCCUCCCUUUCUCCCCGUUUUGCUAUUUCUUGCCCCAGAUCCAGAUCUUGUUGAUUCAAAUCUUGGUCGCCCUCAUCUUCGGCUUCCUUCCCCCGCCUACCUUGGUGUCUGCGCCUCUGCUCAGGCCGACGCUACCUCCUUUCCUCGCUCGUCGGAUUCGCAGGCCCCCUGUGCUGGCCUCUAGUCUGGGGCCUCCGUCGGCGGUGAUGCAUCCUGAGGUUUGGAGGUGUGGUUGGAAGGUGGCUGAGCUGCUGGGAGGGAUUCAUAGACGGCUUGUGCCUACUCCGUCGCUCCUCCGAUGGCAGAUCUGCGCAGCCUCCUCCUGGGUCGUCUGGUUCGCUGUCCCCCUGUGCUGGCUCCCUUACCGGGGCCCGUCGCUGGCGAUGCUCAAUGGGUGGGGGUUGCUGUUGGCAGGGCUCAACGGUGGUGCCCUGAGCCGUCCCUCUCCCGUGCCGCCGGCUGCAGAUCCACGCAGUGCUCCGCUGGCAGGGCUAUCCGUAUGCUGCUGGGUCUGCACUCAUCCCCGCCGCCUCCGGCUAUGUGCGUCCUGCUCACGACCUCGGUGACUCGGCAUGGUCGGUGCGGCAGCUGCAAUGCGAGGGUUCUGGGUGAUGUGCAAUGAAAGUGCCGCACUCAGUGCGCGGAGAGCGCGGUAGGUGCCAAGCACCUCUGCAUGAUCUAGGCAAGUUCCUUUCUUCAUGUUCUGGUCGGAUGCCGUCCAGCGCAAGCGUCGCGCCCGAUGUGUGGGGAGGUGCCCGGACCUCUGUAUGGCCCGACCUAGGGUGUUAUCUCUGGCAUCUUGUGCAGCUUGAUGGUUCUGCUUGUUGUUGUGUGCUUCUGAGGCCAACCGUGAAUGUUGGGUUUGCCCCGGUGAAUCGAUUGGGUGCUAAUGAUUCGAUUCAGGUGGGGCUUAGCCCUCCCGUUGCCGACACUCAUCGGCGGUCGGUGGUGGUUCCUUCAUUCGUGUGCCUAAUUUGCUUCUUCUUUGUCGAGUGAGCGUGCGUUGCGAUUGUAAUUCUUUGUGGCUCCCUUUCUUCUUCUGCCAAUUUGUAUCCUGAUCACCACCCCAGUUUGGGAGUGGCUGCGUGAUGUAAUAUCUCCUUUGAUGGAACGAAAAUGUUCAGGUGGGCUUACUUAGCCCCGCUUGAUUCCUCAAAAAUACUACAUUCAUGUAGACGUAAAACAUUUUAGUCCCAUAUAUGCAGAUGUUAUGUCACAUUUAGAUUUUAAAGCAUAUAUAUAUAGAUAGCACACACGCUAUCUACAGGUGAUUCCUUGCCACGAGAAAGGAUGCGUGUAUCAGGUUUAGCUUGUUCUCUUUUCAUGUAGUAAUGAACACUGGUCGCGGCCGGCCGGGCGCAUCUUUCUGCAGUUCGUCACGGGGCCGCAUGUCUGGGCCGGGCUGAAGUUGGCACACACGUCGAGUUCCGGAAGAUGCAUGCGGCCGAAGGGGCCAAGGCGCAUGCAAAGCACAUGUGCUGAUCAUGGCUGGGGCCGGGCUUGUUUGUACCAGCAUCCGGAAAAUGCAAAACUGUACAUGUGACCCUACGAACUUAUUGAUUUCUCUUUUCAUCCGACCGUUGAUCUAGUACCUACCCAUAAAUUUCUUACCUACUCAUAUCCAUUUCACCGUUAAUUUAAAAAUAAAUGAUUUGGAUAGCUCGUGUAGUCAUAUGUGAAAAAUCCAUAGCAGCAGCGCAGGUACUCAAUCAUGCUCUUUUGGCGUUUCCACAAAUUAUUUUAAUUCCACGAUAUGCCGUGAUACAUACUGUGGUCCUUUUGAAAAACCACGUACUGUGGUCCUGGAUGUGUCCUUUUUGUGCUCUUGUUAGUUUGAUUUUUUUAGUGAAAAAAAGGGAGCUUUCCAGAUUCCAAACCCACGAUAUAUCAGGCUCUCUCCAACGGACAUCGCCAACAUGCGUAAGUAUUUUCGGUGAACAUGGAGGGAAGAGAGAGAGAGGGAGAGGAGGGAAAAAAACAUCUACUAGAUCGUUUUCGUUUUUCUAGGUGUAUAAAUAUUAUUAUAUAUCUACAUAUAGUGUAUGUUUAGAUGCAUAAUAAUAUCUAUGAAUCUAGAAAAAUCAAAAUAACCUACAAUUUGGAACGGAGCGAGUAGCUGGCAGCAAUCUCAAAUCAUCAAUCGCACAAAAUUUGGAUAACAAAAUAGGAAAGCAUACAAGCAGUUAUUUUUUUCUCUUCACAAAUUUAAGAGGCUUGUAGCACGUGCUGUACACUAUUUGGGACGGGGAAAAUACUUUGUGGAUGGUGCACAUGCAUGAGCUUUAUUUGAACAGAGGCGGCAUACCUACAACGUAUUUGGUUUGGGAUGCCGGGUGAUCCGGAAUCAUCCGAACCUAGAACUGAAGCUAGCCGAGCCGUUUGGUUCGCAUCGCCGGAAGAGCUCAUCCGUCAUCGACUGCUUCCAUCUAGCGCUAAUCAACCAUUAGAUAUUCAGAUGGAACCAUUCUGUUUGGAGGGGAGCCGGCCCAUGCCGCACCGCAUCAACCGCUAAACCAAACACGCUAUUAAAGAUCGAGUUGAAGUCCAACUGACUGACGCAUCUACAUGGGGGACUGACGCAUGAUGAGGGUGUGAUAAAAAAUAAAAAGCAGCUCAUCACAAACAAACACUACAAACCCCUGAAUCAUGGACAGAUUAUUGAUGGAUUGACGACGUAGAGCCGUUGGAUGCUCGACCGGCCGGUGUUGUCGAGCGGGUCCUAGCUCAUUAGCCGAUGUAGUAGAGGGGGUCGGGCAGCUUGAAGGUGCGCGCCCCCUCCGGCGCGCCGAGGAUGUCGCUCCACUGGUCGCCGAUGUUGCCGACGAUGACGUAGCCGGCGUCCUGGAGCUUCCGGCGCUCGUCGGACUUGAAGCCGAUGGCGGUGCCAUUGUACCCGACGGGCUUGAGCAGGAGCUUCAUCCAGCCGGAGUAGCCCUCGCGGCGGAGGUUGGCGACGGUGAUGGCCCUCUGGUUCUCUCUGCGGCCCGUCAGGAACACCGGCGUGAUGCCGAGAGAGAUGAGCUUGUUGUACAGCCGCUGCGUCUCCGGCAGCACCGGCGCGCUUCCCGCAAACACGUACGCGUUGAAGCUCGUCGCGUCGUACGGCUUCGUGCUGUGUGGUAGCAAUAGCAUGCAUGGAAGAAGACAAGUGGAGACCAUUAGAUCAGCAAAUAAACUCAUUACUUGGAUAAUCUACAAAUCAUUCACUGCCGGUAGUUCCUCCAUUUCAAAUUAUUGAUCGUUUUAGUUUUUUUAUAAAUUCAUAGAUUAUGCUAAAAAUCUCGUACACAUGCAUAGAAAAACUAUGAAAUAAAAAAGCUAAAACAAACUGUAGUUUAGGAUGGAGGGAGUAUUUGUCGUAGGAACCGCUGUGUAUAGUUCUAAAACGACUUUAUUACAAAUGGAGGACCGGUAAAAAAUAUCUACUGUUGUAUGAUGCCCACUGGUCGUCGUCCUAUACUGACUGUCUCUCAUCGACGUGACGUCCCCAUCUGCCACUGUUGUGCUCGGUCAUGCAUGCAUGUGUCCCACAGGACCGGUCCCUUUCUUGAUAAAAAACCAACGUGUUCUUGUGCAAAUAUCAGAUUCUGGCAUUUUAUCUCCGGCUACGUAAUUCUGGCAUUCCUAGAUCCUGAGAGUAAGUACGUACAAAUACCAGCCAACGGCGCGGCGCUAUACUACGUGACAACGUACACGUGUAUGUACAAGAACAACUUAUACGUAUUUGGUUAAAAAAUAAAUUAAUCUGCUUAUCUUCAACAUCAUAUAUUUUGAGAACGGAAGGAGCACGCGGUGGUGUUGAAUCCUAAACAACGUAUGUACUACUUAUUACGUACCCAAAGCCAUUGGAGGCGUAGUAGGGGAGGUUGCUGAGGGCCGUCUCGUCGAUGUCGAACACCCACACCUCCUUGCCGUUGCCAGCGAGCUGGAGCCCCUCGGCGUACGCGACGGCCUCGUCGAUGACGACGCGGGAGUCCCUGCGGUAGUGCCCGCCGAGCAUGUAGUUGCCGACGUAGCGCUCGCACCUUGCCGGCACCGUCCUCCAGUCGCGCUUGUUGUUCGUCUCCACGGCCAGCCGCCAGCUGUCGCACGGCACGCCGCCGCGCCAGCCGAGGUCCCCGGCGGAGCCCACCAGCGGGCGCAGCGCGUGGAUCACCGGCGCCGCCACCUCCUCCUCGACGAAGCGCUCCGCGGCCGCCUGGACGGCCCGCGCCGCCGUCGGCAUCCGGAGGCCGCUCAGCUCCCACGCGCCGCCGCAGGAGGUGCUGCCGGCCACGAGGGCCACGAGAAGGACGAGCCUGGCUGUCGCCAGCGUCGUUGCCAUGGCCGCUCUCUGAGUCUGCUAAGCUAAGCCGGUACUGGACAGUGUGCUGCUUAGCUUGUUGAGAUGAGCAGCUGCCCACGUGAGCUUUAAUAGACAGUGCGUGCCUGCAUGCUGGGAUCUGGCGGGACCCGCAUGUCAGUUCAGCGCGGGGUGACGAGGGUAACGCUUGGACGUUGUCGCGAUAGGGUGAAAUUAUUGGUCCGUGGACGGUGGAGGACCAAUAAUGCAAUGCAAGGCUGGGCCUCUCCCCUCGGGACGGCGUCCAGGCCUUAGGCGGUUAGGCCUCCUCCAAUGAUAUGAGCUAUUACCUAGCUCUGGCAAGCGUGUAUGUGUCUGUCUCUCUCCAUUGCUUCGUCUUGGGAGCUGAGAGAGAGGGGCAGUACCAAACUCUUCUCUAUCUUGCCUUGCUUUGCGCAGCAAGGCUGGGCAAACCUUGCCCAGCUAGCUUAGGGGGCGUUUGUUUCUUUAGCACCUUUUAAAAUUCAUGUCACAUCGAAUGUUUAGAUACUAAUUAGGAGUAUUAAAUAUAGGCUAACUACAAAACUAAUUACACGGACAGAGACUAAUUUGCGAGACGAAUCUAUUAAGUCUAAUUAGUCCAUGAUUUGACAAUGUGAUGCUACAGCAAACAUGUGCUAAUGAUGGAUUAAUUAGGUUUAAUAGAUUCGUCUCAUGAAUUAGCCUCCAUCUGUGUAAUUAGUUUUAUAAUUAGUUCAUAUUUAAUCCUCCUAAUUAGCCUUCGAAUAUUCGAUGUGACAUAAAUUUUAGUCAGUACUAAAGAUCCAAACACCCCUAAAGCUAGCAAAGGAUCCAAGCAGACCCGCAGGGAGAAAGGAAGACCGUACUUAGCACAUUUCGUUCUGUCCAUCGCCCUUAGCACAUUUCUGUCCCAUACGUAUAUGCAUCCUUACAAUGUAUGUCAUAUUUAGAUUUUAGAGUAUACGAAUUAAACGGAACUAGCAUUUCAGUUUGUAUAGGUGUGAUUUGUUGCCACGAGAAAGGACGCCUAGCUUAGCCAUCACCGUUGGCACUUACUGUACUGGGAUACAGGAUUAUCUUGUUCUGCUUCUCCUGUUGCUUGUAGCCGGCCGGGCGCAUCUAUGUGCAGUGUGGUCGUGGGGCCGCAUUGUCUGGGACGUGAUGCGCGCCUUUUCUUUUUCGGAGCGACAUGACGCACGCUUGGGCAGUUGCCUGGGAGGCUGUGUCUGGGAGGGACGUGGUGGGGCGGCAGCUCCCAGCAGAGAAAAUAGAGGGCAGCGCAUCUGAUUCACGAGUUCCUGAAGAUGAUGCGGCGGACGGGGCACGAAGCAAAAGCGCGAAGCAUGUGUGCGUGGGGCGCCGUGCCAAUAAUGCAACGCUGGCCGGGCCGGCAUGACUUGGUUGGUUUUGUACUAGCAGCGGCAAAGUAGGCGACACUCACACAGUUAAUCAUGCUCUUUUAAUUUGGCGCUUCCAUGAUAUGCCGUGAUCCUGGUCCUGGAUGUUAGAGAGAUACUUGUAACGACUUGUAACGAGUUUAGUACUAUUGUCAUCUUAGAGAUUGACUCGGUUGCUUGGAGAUAGGAUCCUCUUGUAAUUCAAGUUAUAAGACAAACGAGUUGUAGAUGAUCACAAUAAUAAAAUUAAUUCAAUAGUACUCAUGUAAGUCUCUUGGUGAAUUUCACUCUAUAUUAACAUACAACCGUGGCCAGCCAAGAUAGGCAACCACGUUUUCUCAUAUUCUUACAUGGUAAUCAGAGCAUCCUCUUCCACAAACAUCCACAACUUCCCAAACUAACCCAUGGCGUGACCAUAUGCCCCUGCACCGGCGCUACUAGGAGUUGUCUCCGAGAAAUUAACUUGAGACAACUACCUCCUAUGGAAGGCUCAAUUCCUUCCAGCUAUAUGAGGAGCUCAACUCAUGGGGAUCCUAGAUGGAUCUACCCCUGAGCCGCCCAAGAUUCUAGAGGUGGUCAAGGCAGACAACAAGAAGGAGAUUGUCCACAACGCUGAGUACGAUGCUGGAUUGCAAAAGAUCAGCAAGUACUAAGCUACCUAUUGAAUUCUCUCACCAAGGAUGCAUUAGCAUCGGUGGCAACAGUAACCAUAGCAGCAGAAGCAUGGGGGCGCUUGAGAGGAUGUUCUCAGCGCACUCCAAGGCGCGGAUUGCAAAUUUGCGCGUUCUACUCUCCACAGCCAAGAAGGGUAAUAUGCCCUCCUCAGUUUAUUUCACCAAGAUGUGUUCUUUCAAAGAUGAGCUAGCCACGGUUGGAAAGAUUAUAGAUGAUGAUGAGAUGGUCCACUUUAUUCUGAAUGGUCUUAACUUUGACUAUAAUCCCUUUGUGUCGUCUAUGCUCGGUCGUGUUGACUUUCUCUCCUUGAGUGACUUGUAUUCUCAGUUACUCACAUAUGAUCAACGCAUGGAGAUGUUUCAAGAAGGAGGACAAUUCCUGUCAUCAAGUAAUAUGGUUGGUAGAGGACGCGGCUACUAUGGUAGUCGUGGUCGUGGCAGUAACAACAAUUGUGGUCGUGGCCGUGGCAAUGGUGGUUGCGGUGGAUCAUAUCGUGGCAGCAGCUCCGGCCCUAGCAACCCCAACACAUCCAAGCAAGGUGGACGCAAUAACAAAACAGUAUGUCAGAUCUGCAAGAAAGUAGGACAUGAAGCAAAUCGUUGCCGGUAUAGAUAUGAUGAUGAUGAAGAUCAACAAAAUCAGAACAUGGCAGGGGCGGCUACUACUGGUUACGGUUAUGACACAAACUGGUAUGUAGACAAUGGAGCGUCUGAUCAUGUUACUAGUGAACUUGAGAAGAUGACAGUUCAUGACAAGUAUAAUGGGCGAGAUCAGUACAUGCGGCCAAUGGAACAGGUAUGAAAAUUAGUAACAUUUGUCAUACAACUUUACAUACCCCUAGCAUAAAUAUUAUUCUAAAAAAUAUUCUUCAUGUUCCUAGUGCUAGUAAGAAUUUAUUUUCUGUUCACAUGCUAGCUCGACAUAAUGAUGCCUUCAUAGAAUUUCAUCCAAACUUCUUUUGUAUAAAGGAUCAGGAAAUGAAGAAAGUUAUCCAUCAAGGUAGAUCCCAAGGAGGCCUCUAUCCCUUAGGAUCUCAUCUAGCUCUAGAAGAUUCUAGAAAACAAGUUUUUGUCGUCCAAAAGCCCUUUACUACACGAUGGCAUAGCAGACUUGGGCAUCCAGAUCUUCCUAUUAUAGAAAAAAUUCUUAGUUUAAAUAAACUUUUGUGUGCUAGUGAUAAAAAUUCAGAAUCUAUUAGUAAUUCUUGUCAGAUGGCUAAGAGCCAUCAGCUUCCACACCCUAUAUCAAAUAGUUCAUCUGAAUCUCCUCUUGAUUUAAUUUUUUCUGACGUUUGGGGCCGGCUCCCUUAUCUGUUGGACAACAUAGCUACUAUGUUAGCUUCAUUAAUGAUUUCAGCAAAUAUACAUGGAUCUACCUGCUAAAGAAAAAAUCCGAUGUAUUUCUAAUCUUCCAAAAUUUCCAGCAACUCGUAGAAAGAAAAUUCAACCAAAAUACUAUGCAAUUAGAUUGGGGAGGAGAAUAUGAGAAGUUGAACUCCUUCUUUCAACAUAUAGGAAUCACACACCGUGUUUCUUUUCCUUAUGCUCAUCAACAAAACAGUGUGGCCGAAUGAAAACACCGCCAUAUAGUUGAGGUAGGGCUUGCUCUUCUCGCUAAUGCAUCCAUGCCUUUAAAAUAUUGGGAUCAUACCUUUCUUAUCACUACCUACCUCAUUAAUCUCCUUCCAAGCAAAGUCAUUAACUUUGAUGUUCCUGUUUCUCGGCUCCUUCAUGAAACUCCUGAUUAUACAUCACUACGAGUCUUUAGAUGAGCCUGUUGGCCUAAUUUGCAACCAUACAACUCACAAAAGCUUACUUUCCGCUCUACUCGUUGUGCCUUCUUAGGCUCUAGUGCUAUGCACAAGGGUUUUAAGUGUCUUGACAUCUCCACUGGAUGCAUCUACAUAUCUAGAGAUGUUGACUUUGAUGAGGAUUUUUUCCCUUUUGCCCAUCUCAAUCCUAACGCCGGUGCUCAGUUGCGUCAAGAAAUCAUUCUUUUACCCUCACAUUUGCUUAACCAUGGGGAUGUAAGUUGUCUAACUGAUGUUGCUAAUGUUCCUGGUGAGGCCAUUGAUGAUGUGCAGGUGUUUGUCCCAGAAAUUUUGGAGUCAAACCAUGGAGAAGAAGAAGUUGCAUGUGAUAAUAUUGAAGGCGCUAACGGAGUCUCGGCUGUAGAAAAUCCAAGCUGAUACACCUGCACCUGCAGCUGGUGGAUUAGGCAUGGGAUCCUGGGUGGAUUUGCUUGCGCCCGCCAAAGCCAACCCGAGUGCAACGCGUGGGGGGAAGAGGGCAGAGUGCGCGCAUCCCGCGCCUCCGCGUGUGCUUCCCAGUCGCCGACCGCGCGCGCCUCGCACCUCUUUGUCAUCCACAUGUGGCGGUUGGUCUCUGUCCAUCCCGACCGCUCCAGCAGCUCCGCUUGUGCGCACGCCUUGCAGAUCUUCUGCGCCUCCUGCUAGAUCCGGCACGCAGCUGCAGUCAUCAGUAAAUGAUGCACCUCCUCUACGGUGCACACGACUUCAACAUGGUAUUGUUCAAUCCAAAAAGUUUACAGAUGGGACUAUUUGAUAUGGAAAUUUAACCUGAGAAUUUGCUGGAAGCAUUAAACAAUUCAAGAUGGAAACAAGCUAUGCAGGAGAAGUUUACAGCAUUACUCAAGAAUAAUACCUGGCACUUAGUUGAGCCACCCAAUGGUGGCUGCAACUUAAUUGAUUGCAAAUGGGUGUACAAAGUUAAAAACAAGGCUGAUGGGACAUUUUAUAGAUACAAGGCAUGAUUGGUAGCAAAGGGGUUUCGCCAAAGGUAUGGAAUUGAUUGUGACGAUACAUUUAGUGCAGUUGUCAAGAUUGCUACUAUAAGGCUUGUCUUGUCUUUAGCAAUAUCUAGAGGUUGGUGUUUAAGACAAUUGGAUGUUCAGAAUGCGUUUCUGCACGGUGUUCUGGAAGAGGAGGUAUACGUGAAACAACCUCCGGAUUUUGAAAAAAUUGAUGCUCCACAUCUAGUAUGUAGACUGGACAAAGCAAUUUAUGGUCUGUAACAAGCCCUACAUGCUUCGUAUGCAAGAGUGAGCUCCAAACUUAUUGAUACUGGGUUAAUAGCUUCAAAAUCAAAUAAUUCUCUGUUUAUUUAUAAAAAAUCAGGAUUUGUCAUUUCUAUGCUUAUAUAUGUUGAUGAUAUCAUUGUCACUAGUUCUACUAGUGAAGCUGUUUCGGUCUUGCUAUCAGAUUUGAGGAAAGAAUUUGCUCUCAAAGAUAUUGGUGACUUGAAUUACUUCUUUGGAAUUAAGGUUCAGAGAAGUGAGGAAGGAUUGUUACUUUCUCAACAAAAGUAUGCAGAAGAGAUUCUUACACGGGUUGGUAUGGUCAAUUCUAAAGGUUCUCCAACACCAUUGUCAAUUUCGAAAAAACUCUCAAGUUUUGAAGGUGAACCGCUAGGUCCAGAAGACAGUACACGCUACAAGAGUAUUGUUGGUGCUUUGCAGUAUCUUACUCUUACAUGGCCGUAUUUAGCCUUUGCAGUUAACAAGGUAUGCCAAUUCUUGCGGCGCCGACUUCUAUUCAUUGGAUAGUUGUUAAACGAAUUCUUCAUUUUGUUCAAUAUAUGUUGGAUAUUGGGUUAAAUAUAAAGAAGUCAAGCUCCAUAACUUUGAGUGUCUUCUAUGAUGCUGAUUGGGCUGGAAGUGUUGAUGAUAGAAAAUCUACUAGAGGUUUUGCAAUAUUCUUCGGUCCCAAUCUAGUAUUUUGGAGUGCUAGAAAACAGGCUACAGUCUCAAAGUCUAAGUACUGAAGGAGAAUACAAGUCUAUGGCUAAUGCUACUGCAGAAUUGAUUUGGCUACAAUCGUUAUUAUUGGAACUUGGAGUGAAAUUAACAUAGUCACCUAUUUUAUGGUGUGACAAUUUGGGAGCCACCUAUCUUUCAGCAAAUCCGAUUUUCCAUGCUCGAGCAAAACAUAUAGAAAUUGAUUUUCACUCUGUCCGAGAGUGAGUAACCAAGAAGCUGCUACAAGUCAGAUUAAUAUCUACAUAUGAUCAUGUUGCAGAUGGAUUUACCAAAGCCUUGCCGAUUGGUAAGCUAGACAGUUUCAAAAAUAAUCUAAAUCUCAAAAGAAAGAGAAGUUUAGAUUGAGGGAGGAUGUUAGAGAUAUACUUGUAAUGACUUGUAAUGAGUUUAGUACUAUUGUGAUCUUAGAGAUUGACUCGGUUGCUUAGAGAUAGGAUCCUCUUGUAAUUCAAGUUAUAAGACAAAUGUGUCCUAGAUGAUCACAAUAGUACUCAUGUAAGUCUCUCAGUGAAUUUCACCCUAUAUUAACAUGCAACCGUGGCCAGCCAAGAUAGACAACCAUGUUUCCUCAUAUUCUUACACUGGAUGCGUCCUUUUGUUGGCCUUGUGACACUGUUAGUUUUUAUCUUACCAUGCCUGUGACCUUUUAUUACCACAUGGUAUACAUCAGAGUUACGAUCAAGCUCAAGGCACAUCGACAAACUCUCGUAGUGGUACUUCUUCAUCAAGCCACUCCUCACUGAUGACCCUUAACACUACUGAAAAACUGAGCAUUCGUCCCAAGGCUCAGUACCAGUCACAUUAGUACCGGGCCUAACAGCUAGUCCCCGAUGAGGCCCCAGUAAACCCCUUUAGUAUCAGGUGGAGACUUCACCUGGUACUAAAAGGUUGCACAUUAGUACCGGGUGAAGUCUCCACCUGGUACUAAAUGGACUUCACUGGAUUGAAGCAUAGUUAUUGGGACCGGACCGGACCGGCGGUCCGACCAAUAAAAGACCGAACCAGAGCCUCAGCCGGUUUGGUCCGCCUAAAAGAUCGGAUAAGCAAUCGAACCGGAAAAAACCGGUUGAACCGGCGGUUUUUAGCAAGAAACCGGUAUAAAACCGGACAAGAAACCGGUACAGACCGGAGAAACCGAGCGCAAGGAGAAAAAACAGCGCGCAGGGAAGAAAAUAGGAGGAAAAAUGGCGUGGCUGGGGUUCGAACCCCCACCUUUGCCUUCGGCAAUGUGGAUAAUGUGGAUAGCAACCAUCAGGCUGCAGCUGUGUUUGUGAUUUUAGUUGAUAAGUUAUCAUAUUUGAACCGUGUUGAACCGGUGGUUCAACCGGUUGAACCAAUCAAACCGCGAACCGAGAGCUCGACCGGUUCAUUGUCCGGUCCGGUCCUAAUAACUAUGGAUUGAAGUCCACCGCACGCAUCCGCUCCUCACCAUCUUAUCCGCACGCCUCCCUCUCUCUCCCGAACGGCCCUCCUCUCCCCCUCUCCCCCACGGCGGCCUUGCUUCUCUUCCUCCCAUUCUUCCAAGCAUGCCUCUCCCCUCCCCUCACAACUGCCCCUCGCCUCUCCCCUUCGUGCCCCCUCAUUGCGACGCCGGUAAGGAGCGACGGCGGGACGAGGUGAGACGACAACAUGGCAGUGGUGGAGCGCAGAGGCGGAGUGGCGGGCGACGGUGCGGGGACCUGCAGCGUGGAGAUUCGGCGGGGGCAGCGGGAUCUAAGGGGUGGCGGCACAGCAGGACGAGGUGCACAGCUUCACCUCUCUCUCUUUCUGGGCGAGGGCGGCCGAUGGCGCGAGGGGGCUAGCGAAGCGCGUCGCGAGGGCGGCUAGCCGAGCGAGGGGGCCGGCAAGGGGUUGCGGGGGAGGCGAGGUGGCGGGUCGUCUGACGAGGAGGAAGAGCGGCUGGCGGUGAUGAGGAGCGAGUCGGAAGAGCAUCUCUCUCUCUGAUGCGGGGCUCAAGUGCUGUGCGGCCGGGGCUCCGGCACUUGAGUGGAAGGCGGCGGGGUGCGGCCAGGCUCUGGUCGGCGGAUUUCUUUUUUUUUAAUUUUUUAAUACCCCUUUUAGUACCGGAUCAAGUACCGGUUAUUUGAUCCGGUACUAAAGGACCCCCUUUGCUACCGAUAUAGCAGUAUCGGUUGCACAACUAGUACUAAAGUGAGGUUUGGGACAGGUACUAAAGGUGGAUUCCCAACAGCGGUGUAACCAAGCUAUAAGGAGACAAGUUUGGCACAUUCAUGUGCUGCCUGCGGGUGAUUAAUUUUCCGUAAAUUAAAGGCUGUAUCUCUUGUCCGAAAAAUAGCUUGUCUCAUCGCCUAAGCUAGCAUUUUAGUUUCUACAGGUGCGAUUUGUGACGCUAGGGAUGAACAGUGUUUUCCACUAAUGUAGCACCUGUAACCAUAUAGUCAGUAACGUUCCUCACCUUGGAUUCAUCACUAAAUCUAUGGCAACAAGAAAAUGUUGCUAAAAACGUCAUAAUUUGAGGAACUCCAAAAGGCUGCUAAUCUUACCCUCAAUACUCUUUUUAGGGAAAAAGAAGAAAAAACGAACUCCAACAGUCCACUCAAACCUUCCCCAAUUUUUUAGCAACGCUAAAAAAUAACCUACCACCGCGUAUAUUUUAGCGUUAGCAUUCCUCCUCCAAUCCUGAUUCUCGCACGCUCGCGCGUCCCUUCCGAUGGGCCCAAUACGAUGACGUGACCUGUUUUAAAAUAUUGGGGGCUAUUUAUUAGCAAUCUGCUGUGGAUUGAUAUAUUUUGGGGAAAUUUUUUUUUGGAAGAACCUCCAAUAUAUAGUUUUGGGGAAGAAUUUUUUGGAGUACUCUCUAUAUGCCCAAUUCUUGUUCGACCCGGUCUAUUUUCCCUCAUCUUAGGUUUGGCCUUUUUAGCCCAAUUUACUUUUAGCACAGUCCAUUUUGGGCUCAAUUAUAUAUGGGCCAAGCUCGGGAAACAAUCGAUUAAAUUUUAUAUUACAUACAUAUCAUUUGCCUUGAAACUGCUCAAACUUCCACUGUUUGCCUCAUCAGAUUUCCUGGAAUUAACAAGCUUCACAUGUCUGUCAUGGAAGGAGCAAUUGAUUGGUGAUCUAGUCGUAGCCUGGCCGGAAAUAAAAUCUGCAAUUCCUGAGAUGGAAGAAGAGGGCAACAUAGUGCAUCAAGGCCCCUUUAUAUAUGGCUUUGAUUCUGCAGUAAGUAGUGCGACUCCAUGCUGCAUCAUGGAUACUGAAAAUGUGGGAGAAGACGAAUAGUAAUAUAUCAUGCUCAUGCAUAGCAGCUCGGCAUCUAACAAGACAAGCAGGAUCAUGGCAUGGGUCGAUGAGUUUUAUUUCGAGUCUCAACUCAGAACACCAACAGCAGCUACAUGGAGUUAUUAAUCGAUGAACACUGAUGAGGGUGUGAUAAAAAUAAAAGCAGUUCAUCACAGCACAAGCACAGAAGCACAUCUUGACAAAGAGCCGUUGGAUGAUCGAUCAACCGAUGGGUCGGAGGCGAGCGCGCUCUAGCUUUAUUAGCCGAUGUAGUACAUGGGGUCGGGCAGCUUGAAGGUGCGCGCCCCCUCCGGCGCGCCGAGGAUGUCGCUCCACUGGUCGCCGAUGUUGCCGACGAUGACGUACCCGGCGUCCUGGAGCUUCCGGCGCUCGCCGGACUUGAAGCCGAUGGCGGUGCCCUUGAACCCGACGGGCUUGAGCAGCAG